UACGAAGGGGGCUAGCGUUGCUCGGAAUGACUGGGCGUAAAGGGCGCGUAGGCGGUUUGUACAGUCAGGUGUGAAAUUCCCGGGCUCAACCUGGGGGCUGCACUUGAUACGUAUGGACUGGAGUGGGGAAGAGGGUCGUGGAAUUCCCAGUGUAGAGGUGAAAUUCGUAGAUAUUGGGAAGAACACCGGUGGCGAAGGCGGCGACCUGGUCCUUGACUGACGCUGAGGCGCGAAAGCAUGGGGAGCGAACAGG
rnacentral:rRNA from 1 species